rnacentral:rRNA from 1 species
AAAUAGCGAAAAUGUUUGUGUGGAGUAUAGUUUAUAUUUCUUGAAAAACUUAAUUGUGUGGCGGCCUAGCAACUAUAUAGAGGGGUAUGUUUUAUAAAUCGAGAUUACGCGUUUAUCUUAUCUAGAUUUGAAAUAAAUUCAUUUUACACACCGCCGUCGGAAGAGCAAAUUUAAAUUUUUGUUCUAUAUCCUAUAAAAGGAAUUAAGUCAGGUCAACGUGUAGAUUAUAUCUAGGUCAAAAUGUAUCUCAUUAAUAUAAUUAUGUCCUUUUAACAUUUUUAUUGAAAUAUAUUGAGGUAACUGAAUUUAUAAGUAAAAUUCUUUAAAAUGGGAAUUUGAAUUAUGCAAUGCUUGGUGUC